rnacentral:rRNA from 1 species
GUCCCGUCUGCCGGUGGAGGAUCUAGAACAAAUCGCAGCACCGGCUCCAUUAAUCUACUCUGCGGUGAUGAUCGCCUCUUCAGCAAAGCAUAUUCCGCUUCCCACCCCGCAUUUCGCCAAGCCCAAGCGCCACCGCCGCUCAGGCCCAGCCCGCAUGGACCCCACCGACCAGUCGCCGGAGGAGGUGUACUCCGUGUGGGCCCUCCCGCCGGAGCCCGUCCGCGACCGCCUCCGCGGCCUCAUGGCCGGCCUCCGCGCCGCGCACGGCGGCCCGCCCUUCGAGCCGCACGCCACCGUCGUCGGCGCCGUGCGCAUGCGCCGCCCCGCCGCAAUCCAGGCCCUCCGCGCCGCCGCCGCCGCCGCCGGCGUCGCCCCCUACACCGCCCGCGUCACCGGCGUCGCCCGCGGCGACUUCUUCUACCAGUGCGUCUACCUCCUCCUCGAGCCCACCCCCGAGGUGAUCCAGACAAGCGACCACUUCUGCGCCCACUUCGGGUUUCAGAGAUCAACCCCAUAUAUGCCACAUGUAAGUCUCCUGUAUGGGGAUCUAACAGACGAAGAGAAGGAAGCAGCAAGGAAGAAAGUAGAGGAAAUGGGCAGUGAAAUUUCUGGACUGCAGUUUGAGAUCUCCGAGCUCGCACUUUAUCGAACGGAUACUGAGGAUAAAAGCUUGGAGUCCUGGGAACUGGUGGAGGUAUGCCACCUUGGGAAGAAGUGAUCGGUUCCUCCCGAUGAUAUGCUUCUGCUGGUCAUUAUUCCAUUCUAAUUCAGGGAUUACAGAAAUGGACUGGUAGGAACAGGAAAACAUAUGCUUGCAACCCACUUAAUUGCACUCAGGGGAUAGAGCCUUGUCACGGCAAUAUUGUUUACAGGGUGAAUUGUUUCUGCUGGGUCCUGCCAAGUUGCGGCGAUACUCUAUAUUGGAACAGGGCCACCACUCUUUUGAUAUCGACAAAAAGGUCGAGCAGGCGUGCCCUGGAAAGCUCCUCCUCCUAGCUUAGGCAUUACUUCCAGUUUGGCACGUAAAGGAUGCUGGUAUUUUCUGUUAGUUCGUCAUCUCAAUGAUAUAGGUAUCCUGCUGUCGCCGUCGUUUGACAAAAAGAGAAGAAAAUAUGGAUGCCCUAUAUCAGAAUGAUCAUCAGUUUCUCCCGAUCGACGGAGGCCUCAAAACUGAAGAUGAUCCUUCCAGCGCACUCUGUUUUCAGAUGUAUACUAUCCACAGAAGGGGGUAUCGGAGGGGUGCUGGUGCAUUAUUGGUUGUUCUCCCCUAUCCACGCACGUACAUGGAAAUGGAAUAAAGGCGGCGUCAGGGAUUCAUCUAGUAAGUCCCCGUCCCCUGAUUCUUGAUGCGGAUAUGACGACGUUGAGCCGCUGCCACUCGCCGGAUGGUCGGCGGAGGGGGCGUGCUGACGGCGACGCCCGGACUUUGACAGCUUUGUCUUCUCCCCUAAUUUUCUUUUUAUGAUCAGUAGAGUAAGUAUUUUUGUAUGAUCUUUUUUUUAGAAGAAGUAAUUUUUCUUUGAGAACAGAAGUAUUUUUUGUGAUCAGUAGAGAGUAACAAAGAACAGUCCAGGAGUGGGUGGGCUGUUGGCGGCCCCCUGUGUGGGCCGUGGCAAUGCUAGUAGUGAGUGUCUGGGCUUAGCCCAGCGUAAGCCGCACCGUGGGCCUUGCAGAAAAUAUUACGCGGGCCAUCUUGUUAUUUUCGUACUACGUCUCCUAGAAAAUGUGGUCCUGUAACGCUGGGACUUAAUAGUUCUGUCUGUACCCUAAAAUAAAGAUUAUGCUAAAAAAAUGGGAAAUGAUUGGU